rnacentral:rRNA from 1 species
AUUGAACGCUGGCGGCAGGCUUAACACAUGCAAGUCGAGCGGAGAUGAGGUGCUUGCACCUUAUCUUAGCGGCGGACGGGUGAGUAAUGCUUAGGAAUCUGCCUAUUAGUGGGGGACAACAUUCCGAAAGGAAUGCUAAUACCGCAUACGUCCUACGGGAGAAAGCAGGGGAUCUUCGGACCUUGCGCUAAUAGAUGAGCCUAAGUCAGAUUAGCUAGUUGGUGGGGUAAAGGCCUACCAAGGCGACGAUCUGUAGCGGGUCUGAGAGGUUGACCCGCCACACUGCGGCGGAGACACGUCCCAGACUCCUACGGGAGGCAACAGUGUGGUAUAUUGGACAAUGGGGGGUACCCUGAUCCAGCCAUGCCGCGUGUGUGAAGAAGGCCUUAUGGUUGUAAAGCACUUUAAGCGAGGAGGAGGCUACUGAGACUAAUACUCUUGGAUAGUGGACGUUACUCGCAGAAUAAGCACCGGCUAACUCUGUGCCAGCCGCCGCCGUAA